ensembl:lncRNA
GGCAGAAGGUUCCGAUGGAAGAAAAGAAAAAAGCUGAUGCUUUCUUCAAACUGAUAGGGAUUAUAGGUGGAAGGCAGGUGGGCCCGCGUAGGGAGGCCAAAGAGCUAAUAGAAAGAAUAGUAAGCCCUGCAGAAGUCUCCAAAAGAAAGGCUGCCUAUAUCAGGGCAAGCUCUUUUAAAAAAUUAUUUGGAAAAUAAAAUUUUAUAUUUCAUGAGGUCUGUCUUCAUGAUACAGACCAUUCCUAAAUAUCAGAAAGUCCUGUUGAAUCAACUGAAAGACAUUAUUUGCAUUGAAAUGUGAUCAUGGCUUUGCUAUCACCAUCUUGAUGUUUUACAUCUUUGUGAACUCAGGAAAAUUUUGAGAUGACUAAAGAAUGUGACCAACAGAACGGUCCUCCUUGUGCGUGUGGAGCCAAACCCCAGGCUGCAGAGCUCCUGAGCCGUCUGCCAGUCACCACUUUCAGACCCCACUGAGCAGAAGAGUCUUAAGCCCGCAUCAGAAUCACCUGGAAGACCUAUUAAAACACAGCUUACUGGGCCCCUCCCGGAGAGUUUCCAGGUCAGGAAGUCAGGGGUGGGGCCCGAAGAUCAGCAUUUCUUACAAGUCCCCAAGAACCUGACCCUGCUGGUCCAGACCACAUGCUGAGCACUUCUCUAGUGGAUGAAUGACUGAGCAUCUGAUUUUCCGUCUUCCUUCUUUUUUCUCCAGAAGAAUAGAAAAGAAGUUUAUACAUUAGAUAGUAGAUUAAAACUGGCCCUAAUAACUUGACUCCUUCCCCCACCUCCUUGGAGCAGUUUCUCAGCUGCUCGCAAUGUUGUCUCCCAGACUUGAAGAGCUAAGAAUUCCCACCAAAUAAAAUAGCUCUCUACUUUCAGAUUCUGAGUAUAUUUUUUAAGUUCACAGUGGGAUGAAUUGGAAG